rnacentral:snoRNA from 1 species
AUUCCAUGAUGAGGGCACUUCUGUAAUAACUCUUUGUACCUUUCCCAUGCCUCAUACAAUGACUCAUCAUCCAUUUGUUGGAAAGCAGAGAUCUUGUUCCUCAACUU